rnacentral:pre_miRNA from 1 species
UAAUUUUGUUCUAAGUCAAACUUCUCUAACUUUGACUGAGUUUAUGGAAAAAAAAUGUACCAACAUCUAUAAUAACAAAUAAAUGGACUAUCAAGACAUAUUUCAUGGUGGAUUUAAUGAAACUGAUUUGAUGCUGUAGAUGUUGGUGCAGUUUUCACUAGGUCAAAGUUAGAGAAGUUUGAAUGGCAAAACUAAA